UGCGACUACAAUCAGACUUUUCUAAAUAUUUCAAAGCUGGUGCGUGCUUGUGUUUUUCCGGGCUGUUCUAACAAACAAGUGUCUAGGUCACCAUAUAUAUUUCACCGUGUUCCGUUAUAAUAUUGGCCUUCUUAGCUGCACUGAAUAUAGACAUCAACACUCCACCGGUACGAUUGAGACAACUCCGCGUUUGCAGUGUUCAUCAAGAGGAUUAUGUUCAACCACGGCCACAUAGACAAAUGCUGAAGAGCACUGCUGUACCCAGCCAUCAGCACACAGUGGACUGUACACAGCCCAGACCAAACCUUGACAUUCAUCAGAUCCAAGCAGGGACCCAGAUGGCAUGAGGCGGCAGUGACCAGGGCGAAGGCCUGUCUGUCUGCCAGACUGACAGCAGCUCAGUGCCAGAGGCUCAUUAUCAAGCAGCAGCCACAGCAACAGCAACAACAACAACAGCCAUGCAGCCUCCAGACGGCUGCAUGCAGCUGACCACACAAAACACAAACCCAUCUGUAACCACUCCAUGCCUUUAAUAAGUGGCAAAAGAGCCCUUUUUCUGUUGUGUGUUGUUGUGACAACUGAAAAAAUUCCAACUGAACAUGAACAAUCAUGAACACUCAUUAUGAAG